rnacentral:rRNA from 1 species
UACGUAGGGUGCAAGCGUUAAUCGGAAUUACUGGGCGUAAAGCGUGCGCAGGCGGCUAUGCAAGACAGAUGUGAAAUCCCCGGGCUUAACCUGGGAACUGCAUUUGUGACUGCAUGGCUAGAGUACGGUAGAGGGGGAUGGAAUUCCGCGUGUAGCAGUGAAAUGCGUAGAUAUGCGGAGGAACACCGAUGGCGAAGGCAAUCCCCUGGACCUGUACUGGCGCUCAUGCACGAAAGCGUGGGGAGCAAACAGG